CCUACGGGGGGCAGCAGUAGGGAAUAUUGCUCAAUGGGGGAAACCCUGAAGCAGCAACGCCGCGUGGAGGAUGAAGGUUUUCGGAUUGUAAACUCCUUUUGUUAGAGAAGAUAAUGACGGUAUCUAACGAAUAAGCACCGGCUAACUCCGUUCCAGCAGCCGCGGGAAUACGGAGGGUGCAAGCGUUACUCGGAAUCACUGGGCGUAAAGAGCGCGUAGGCGGGAUAGCAAGUCAGAUGUGAAAUCCUAUGGCUUAACCAUAGAACUGCAUUUGAAACUGUUAUUCUAGAGUAUGGGAGAGGUAGGUGGAAUUCUUGGUGUAGGGGUAAAAUCCGUAGAGAUCAAGAGGAAUACUCAUUGCGAAGGCGACCUGCUAGAACAUAACUGACGCUGAUGCGCGAAAGCGUGGGGAGCAAACAGGAUUAGAUACCCCGGUAGUC
rnacentral:rRNA from 1 species